rnacentral:rRNA from 1 species
AUGAGAUCAUUAUCUACCAUGGAGGAAAACUUAAAGAAGUGGAGCUAUGAGUCCUUUGGCUCUGUUCGUGGUCGGUUAAAAGAUUUGAGGAGGCAAUUAGAGGAAGUGAGGGACAGGAACUGGAGAAGAGGACAAACAAAACAAGAGAAGAGUUCUGUUAACCAAAUUUCGGAUUUAAUUGCCAGAGAAGAAAUUAUGAUACGCCAGAGAUCUAGAGUACAAUGGCUAGUGUUAGGAGAUCGUAACACCGCCUUUUUUCACUCAAAAUGCAGAGAAAGAGCAAGACAAGACAGAAUAAUUUCUCCACAACGAGAGGAUGGAAGGAUAUGUUAUCAACAGGGAGAAAUUGAAGGCAUAGCUAUUAACUUUUUCUGCAAAUUGUUUUCUGCUCAGGAGAACCUGCAACCAGAUAAAGUGAUAAAGUACGUGCAACCAAAAGUAACAAAGGAUAUGAAUAAGCACUUAUGUAAACCGUUUACUUCAGAAGAAGUUGAGAAGGCACUAUUUAGGAUGAAACCAAAUAAAUCUCCAGGCCCAAAUGGUUUUACAGCAGGAUUUUUUCAAAGCCAUUGGGAACUGAUAAAGAUUGAUAUUUGCAAUGCAGUUUUGAAGUUCUUGCGAAAUGGUGAAAUGCAAGAGGGCCUAAACAAAACAAUUAUGGUGCUCGUUCCAAAGGCUUCAAAGAAAGGAGCAGAAAGACUUCAGGAAGUAUUGGAAGCCUACAACAAGGGAUCAGGUCAACUGGUUAACAAAGUAAAAUAA